UUUCCCAAAGAGAAAAAAAAAACCUAAGGUUUUACAUUGGGUUUUCACAGGGAAAACCCUUUUUUUUUUUAAUUUUCCAACCUAGGUUUCUUCAGGAAAAUACUUCGUUUGUAUGGAGAAUUGAGUUAAACAUGGUUUCAUCUCCAGGAUUGAAUAACUCAAUGUCGCACAAAACCUAGGUUUAUUUUGAAAAUAUUAAAAUUAAUUUUUAAAAAGUGAGUGGCCAAAAUGAAAACUUAUUAAAAUUUUAUGACUAAAAAGAGUGUACAAUAAAUUGAAUGAACGGUUGACCAAAAAUUAAAUCUUAUUAAAGUUGAGUGACUAAAAUGAAAACAAUUGUUAAUGGCAGUGCCUAAUUGCAAAUUUUUUAUUUCUAAUGCCUAAAAUGAAAACUUAUUAAAGUUAUAUGGCCAACUACGUAGUUUACCUUAAAAUUUAACAAUCAUCAGUUAUAUCAAAUUAACCUUGUAUAUUUUAAUUAAGUUAUAUUAUUAUGAUGACACUUUUGUCUUUCUUUUUUUUUUUUUAAAAAAGUCAAUAAAAAAAUUACAAAUAUAAAGCCAGUGUUAUUUGAAUCGAACCGGUCGGUCGGAUCGUGAAUUAGCCGAGGUAUUGAUUUGGAAAGUGACUUUCAACCUAUUAGAUUGAGAACCGGCAAACCGAUUAAAAAACUAGUUGAACAGAAAGUUGAAUAAGCUAAAAUAUCGGUUGAACAGACGUUUGAAUUGAGAUUUUUUAAAAUUUUAUUACUCUUUUUGGAUUUUUAAUUGGACCGGUGAUGUAACAUCCUAUUUUGGUGAGUCCUGAAUUUGGUGAGCAAACCGAAAGUAAUCUAAGUGGCAUCGUGUUAUCUGCCUAAUUGAUGCUUUUGGCGUAUAGAUCAGGUGCAUAGUACAUGUUAGAUUAUUGAAAAAAUUGUUUACAGCAUGUGUUGAGUCAUUAAGAGGAGAUUGGUAAAAGUAUUGAGGAUUUUGGGUAACUUGGGUAAUCCCCGAAGGUAAUGUACACCCAAUUCAUUUAGUCAUGAUCUAAAUGAAUUGGUUAGGAACUAGUUGAAUAGAGGAACCAAAGAAAAAUAUAAAAAUAUUGGGUUUUCAUAGCUGUAAAUCAUUUAUAAAGGCAGUGGUGACAGUUUGUAACACGUGUCAGGUUCCAAUAAGGGUUCAGGUUAGAUAUUUAGAUAUUUGGGUUAGAAAAAGAGGAAGUUUUACUUCUUCCUUUUUCAAGAAGUAUUGUUACCCGAAACUUAAAAAACUUCAAAUAUUUCUUUCUCCUUGAAGCUGGAGUUAUAGAUCUGGAUCUUUACUAGUGAUUACUCCAUGUCAAGACUCUGGUGAACUGUCGAUCCUUCUAGUCAAAUCAUAUUAACGUAAUUUCGGGAUGAUAUUGGUGUAGGAUCGAUUGCUAAUAACUUGGAACACCUUUGGCUUUUAGGAAGCGAAUCACAUCUCCGAUUCUAGUCGUAUAAGCAUAAGUAUCCAAGAUAGAUCUAAUUAAAUCUGGAUGUCGGCGUUAGAGGCAUUGGAGUUGCAUUGAUCAGGUUUGGAUCUAACUUAAUACAAGUUAUAUAUAUCAUUAAAAAUGCCUAAAUAAAAUAUUAUUACUUGAUCAUUGUCUUAUGCUAAUAUUGUAAGUAUUCUAUAAUUGGAGAAUAAAUUUUUCAAAACGGAUAAUACAAGCGGUUCUGAACCAACUAUUUUGUGAAAAUAUGUUGUGUGGUUACGUUUAUUGAUGAUUUAAAAGCAUGUUGUUCUCAUUCUCAUGUUAUGUGAUAUUAUGGCAUAUAUGAUUAUUCAUGAUUAAUAAAAUUUGAUGUUUUGGUACAUCAUGAUAAUAUGUGGGUUGCAUGUCAAAAUAUGCCUAUGUGAUACUAAGUAUUAAAUGAUUCAAUGAGCAUGAUUUACAUGCCUAAAGUGUUAUUCUGUAACAAAGCGAAAAUGUAUUUAUUGUGGCCAUAUCACAUGCAUGGGGUGAGACAUGUGUAAGGAGGAAGUACUGGCAGUUUAUCUGCAUCACUGGUGGCUUGUCCAUAUUACAGGCAGCUUGUUUGCAUCAUUGGUAGUUUAUCUGCAUUACUGGCAACUUGUCUACACUACUGACAGUUUAUCUUUAUUACUGGUGGUUUUUCGCAUUGGCUUGCAGAUAAUUCCCUUUGUAAAUUCAUCCAUUGGCCUGCAGAUAAUUACAAUUUGUAAAUUCAUCUAUUGGCUUGCAGAUAAUUCCCUUUGAUGGUUCUCAUAAGACUUGAGCACUCCAUAACAGUUGUAGCUCGAUGCUUAUACACAUCGAUUGUUUAAUUUGAUUGAAACCUGCUAUAUGAUCGUAAGUUCUGUCAAUAUAUACUUUUCCCACUCA